rnacentral:rRNA from 1 species
UUUUUAAGACCCUUCCAUCAGGUGGGACUACCCGCUGAACUUAAGCAUAUCAAUAAGCGGAGGAAAAGAAACUAACCAGGAUUCCCCUAGUAACGGCGAGUGAAGAGGGAAAAGCCCAAAUUUGUAAUCUGGCUCUUUCAGAGUCCGAGUUGUAAUUUUAAGAACUGUUUUCCGUGCUGGACCAUUUCUAAGUCUGUUGAAAAAUAGCAUCAUUGAGGGUGAUAAUCCCGUUCAUGAUAUGGACUACCAGUGCAAUGUGAUACAGUUUCUAAGAGUCGAGUUGUUUGGGAAUGCAGCUCAAAGUGGGUGGUAAAUUCCAUCUAAGGCUAAAUAUAGGUGAGAGACCGAUAGCAUACAAGUACCGUGAGGGAAAGAUGAAAAGAACUUUGGAAAGAGAGUUAACAGUACGUGAAAUUGUUGUAAGAGAAACAAUUAAAGUUAGCCUUGUGCUUGUUAGUUCAGCUCUUUAACUAGGGUGUAUUCUAAUGAUGUCACGGACCAACAUCAGUUUUUGGGUGCUGGAUAAGGGCUCCGGAAAUGUAGCAGUCUUGGCUGUGUUAUAGUCUGGGGUUUGGAUACAGUGCUUGGGACUGAGGAUAUCUGCAGCAAGCCAGUCAAAUGGCCGCCCUUUUUAAGGGCUCCCCUGCUGAGGAUGUUGGUGUCAAUAGCUAAAAAAUGACCCA